AGAGUUGAUCAUGGCUCAGGAUUAACGCUGGCGGCGUGCCUAAUACAUGCAAGUCGAAUGGUAGUAGCAAUACAAACCAUGGCGAACGGGUGAGUAACACGUAGGCAACCUGACUUUAAGACGAGGAUAACCGUUGGAAACGACGGAUAAUACUGGAUAGGACAUCACAAAGGGCAUCCUUAGAUGUUUAAAGGUUAUCAUGCCACUUAGAGAGGGGCCUGCGGCGCAUUAGCUAGUUGGUGAGAUAACAGCCCACCAAGGCGAUGAUGCGUAGCCGGACUGAGAGGUUGAACGGCCACAAUGGAACUGAGAACGGUCCAUACUCCUACGGGAGGCAGCAGUAGGGAAUUUUCGGCAAUGGGCGCAAGCCUGACCGAGCAACGCCGCGUGAACGAAGAAGUUAUUCGUAAUGUAAAGUUCUUUUAUCUGGGAAGAAAAAACAAAUUGACGGUACCAGAUGAAUAAGCUCCGGCUAACUACGUGCCAGCAGCCGC
rnacentral:rRNA from 1 species